GCAAUGUCUUUCUAAUAAUGACUCAUCUGAUUAUAUUUUUCUCAAAAAAAAAAAAAAAAACGGAGAAGAUGUCGAAGGUAAACAUUUGAACAACCCUCCCAACGACGGGUUGCCUGAUGACUGCGAAUAUCAUUCAAAUUUCCUACACCGCACUGAGUCAUGGAUUGGACACCAAGCGAGCGAAAAUCUUUGCUCUCAUAAAAGAAUAGCGAGAAAGAGUACAAUGUACGUCUCCUAUCACACCUACUAGCGAUGCUCCUCCUUAAUUACACACAAAAAAGACGUUAUAACUGGUUUUCAUUUAACUGAUUCAUUGGAAAUGUUUGUGUGGUGGGGCAAUUCGUCGGUUUUAUUUUGGCCAGUCAGUAGUGAUUCAAUUUCGCGAACGAACGGAUGACGUAAUGGGUGUUCCUACAAUAUAUAACUUGUCAAUGAAAGCGGACAUGGAUUUGGUAUUUUUAACAAUCCCAAACAAUAGAAUGGGAUUGGAAAUUAUCAAUCGCCUUAUCGGCGAAAUACAGCAAAAAGGUGGCAUCCGCCAAGCUUGGUUAGAUCACGCGUUGCAGCAGUUACUAGUUAUUAAAAGUAAGUUUGAAUAGCUUACUGGAAAGCCAGAAGAAGUAGAAGCAGAAGCAGAAUCUCCUUCUGUAUUAGUAUUGAAACGUAAAACGCAUAACGUGAAUAAGAACGAUCUUUCCUAACUUUGCAAGUUGUCUGACUGCUUAUUCUGAUCCGAAAGUACA